AUACGGAGGGUGCAAGCGUUACUCGGAAUCACUGGGCGUAAAGCGCGCGCAGGCGGGCUGAUAAGUUGGAUGUGAAAGCCUACGGCUCAACCGUAGAACUGCAUCCAAAACUGUCAGUCUAGAGUCUGGGAGGGGAAGAUGGAAUUAGUUGUGUAGGGGUAAAAUCCGUAGAGAUAACUAGGAAUACCAAAAGCGCAGGCGAUCUUCUGGAACAGUACUGACGCUGAGGCGCGAAAGCGUGGGGAGCAAACAGGAUUAGAAACCCUAGUAGUCC
rnacentral:rRNA from 1 species